UACGGAGGGUGCAAGCGUUAUCCGGAUUCACUGGGUUUAAAGGGUGCGUAGGUGGGUUGGUAAGUCAGUGGUGAAAUCUCCGGGCUUAACCCGGAAACUGCCGUUGAUACUAUUUGUCUUGAAUAUAGUGGAGGUGAGCGGAAUAUGUCAUGUAGCGGUGAAAUGCUUAGAUAUGACAUAGAACAUCGAUUGCGAAGGCAGCUCGCUACACUAUUAUUGACACUGAGGCACGAAAGCGUGGGGAUCAAACAGG
rnacentral:rRNA from 1 species